rnacentral:lncRNA from 1 species
GCCGGGCCAGAGAAGGGCUGGGUGGGGAGGAUAACCUGGGCCCGACCUGAAGCAUGCUCCUCCACAAUAUCAACUGGGAAUGGGCCAGGUCAGCCUCCUUAAUAUGGCAACUCGGCAAAUGCAGAUGGUGAGUGGAAAUUGGAGUCUCUAGUGCAGUAGUCUGUUUAAGAAAUUGCGCGUUAGUUUAGGAUUCUAGUAGCAAAGAUUGACCUCAAAUGCUUCUCAAACAUGGAGUUUCUAUCUACUUUGGUCUAUAUGUCAUAAGUUUUUUAAGGAUGACAUGAUGUUUUAUAUUACAUAGCCCAAGCAAAUCUCAGGAUAUGUAGUUUAUCUCUGCAUUUAAAUCUUAAGUUUUCAUUUUGGAGUUGUUGAGAAUAUGGAUACAUACAAAAUAUUAUACUUUUAGAAAAUUUGAGGUACUGCAUGCUUACGAGUGAUUCUGAAGUUUGAAGUACAAAAUUUUGCGUUUAUGUAUAAUUUUCUCAAGCCAACUAAAUCUAAUUCAUUUUGUUAAAAGACAAUAUUCCUUUCAUUCAGUACCAAAAGAACAGCUCUAACCCAACUGACUACAUAAAUCCACUACACCAAAGUAAUCUAUCCAUAUUACCAACCAAUUUCAGAUUAGUGGGAAGGUAGGUAGCAAGGUGCUACUUUCACUUGCUUCACUAAUACCACUGUAUCCCAAUGCUAGUACAUCACCCUUAUCUCUACUAUCUGCUGCUGCUGCUAGUUUGUGUAGAUGCUAUUUCCAUCCUGAUUUCACUAAUAUCAUCGGACUCAAAUUUUAAUACAUUGGUCUUAAUGUACCUAUGAAAAGUUGAAAGUUUAUAAGUAUUACUUACAUGAUGGAUCUUUUGUCUAAUCAACAUACACUAAAAUGCAGGGCAACAAUUUAGAUUAAAACCAUCAUAAAUUGUAGCAGCAAUUUUUGUCAAUAAAAAGACGGUCUAUCAAACAUGGAAUACUAGAACACCAAAAGGGAAGAGCUACAACUCAUCGUAUAAACUAUCACAUUCCAUAUAAAGCAAACAAUGUUGAGCUAAAUAGUAGUACUUUUUGUGGGACAGAAGAGGGAGUAGGAAUUUACCUUAUGUCGGUGAGAAAAAACUGGCCAAGUAUCGAUCCAAAUCUGAACAAUCAAAUUGUCUAAACACAAAGGAUAAAUCUGCUAACCGGAAACAGCAAACCUGUAAAGCAAACAAGAAAAACAGUUGUUAAAUUCUGAGAGCAACAAGGGGCAUCCAUUUGAUCUCCACAUUGGAGCUCUUCAUUCUUUUCCCAUUCAAAGUCUCUUUAGCCAAAUUAAAACUGUUUAGAAAAUUUCCGGUACCUGCACAAUUUCACCUGAACCAAAAAGAUAAAAACAACUGAAGUCGAAACCAAUAGAAAGUGUACAAAAUGUACGACAACAUCAGGGGAAAAUGAUAAACCACAAACAGUUGUUUGCUAUCCCAUAUUAUCAGGGGAACAAGAUAAACCACAAAAAGAUCAAAACAAUUGUUUGAUAUCCCAUAUGUACAUAAUUUUUGCAAAUCAUACAAUAGGCACAAAAAGGUACUUUAUUUAGCCUGCAUUUGCAAUACCAAGUUCCUAACAAACAGUUCGCAUCAGUAUGUCUUGACCUAUGUGGAUUUUCUCUAUCUGUAGGAAGCUACAAAUGAGGCUAAACAAGAGCAGCCCCAAGCAAACAUUUUUAUAUUUGGGUCCAAUAUUUUUCUCUGUCCAAGGCAUUUAACCAAACAGGUUAUACAUUAAUGAACCACAAAUAUGUCCUUCAGGCAUUCUAUAAAACAGUUACAUGUCUGAAAAUCAUAGCUAACAAAUCCUUCAAUUUUUUUACCACAGAAAUUGAAGCAUAAUUUAGGACUUGAUUUAGCAAACAAUUAAUCAAACUAUGCCAACAUCUGUGUAUCAGAGAGAAUGCAAUAAGACAUCAAAUAGGAAACAGAGACAAAGAGGCCAAUUAAUCAAUUGUAUAUGUAAAGACUUAUAAACCAAAAAAUGGGGAAGGGGAGGAAUUAGAGACCAGUAUUAUAGGAUACCUGAAUUUUUGAGACCGUAAAUUUGGUCUCUAAUCCAUUUCAAACUCUUUUUUAAAAUUAAAAAAAAAAUGGCUAAAAAAUUGAAACUGAAAAAAUCGAUUUCUAAUCUGAUUCAAGCUUACUUUUUAAAUAAAGAGUAAAAUGUGAAUUACACCAAUUCUUGAGUCACCGCUCAUGGUACGAAAACUAUUGAAUUUCCAUAUGUGGUUUCACAUUCAUGUACAACUUACCUCAUUUUGACAGCAAGUGAAUUCCACUUCCCAAAAAGUGAGUGAAGGGUUAUCUACCCUUGAAUCACCCUCAAAUUAAAGGAUCGGAUUAGCAUGAAGUUAUUUUUUUGGUAAGUUAGUCAAUUGUCCAAUAGAAUAUACUGACAUACAUACAAUCUCCAAUUGACCAGCUUACUCAAAAAUAAACUUCAUUCUAACCUGUUGUUCCCGAAGUAAAAAAGUAUACCCUUAACAAUUCUUCACCAUGAGGCAUGAGUAGAAGAAAACAUAUAAAACCCAGGAAAAAAUUCUAAUAAACAGGAAUCCCACCCCCAUCGUCACCGUCAGUAGCUUCCUUGGAUGAAGAAAUAAUAAAACUUUCUUCCUUAGAUUUUAUGGGGGGGAAAUCCAGCGAUUUAAAUACAGCCACAUUUCACAUCCAAUUCUAAUUCCGUGAUUUCAAGUGCAUCAAAAUUCCAUAAAACUUCAUAAAAGCAGACAAUUAGGCUUAACCAUUCAAUUGCUCAACAAACAAAAACACAUAAAAUUCCCCAAAACAAAAUCCUAGCCCUAAACAAAAAGCUAACCAUCAAACAGCAAAGUUAUGCGCGGCCUCUGUAGUGGUGAUGGCCGUUGAAAUAACAUAAACCACGCCCACAAAAGAUUGUUGUAAAAGAAAAGAUGAAGAAGAGAAGAUGAUAAUGGGAAUUGGAACAAACCUACCUCUCGCUAGCUAACUUGUGGAAAGGCUUGAAGCCCCAUCUUUCCCAACCUUUAAGUGCGAUUGUGAGAAGGAGCUCGGACGCUAAGGUAAUUACACCCACCCUGGAGCUUUUCCAGUACUGAGAUUUGAAUUUAAUUAAUAUGCAG